rnacentral:rRNA from 1 species
AUUGAACGCUGGCGGCAGGCCUAACACAUGCAAGUCGAACGAGUGGCGGACGGGUGAGUAAUGUCUGGGAAACUGCCCGAUGGAGGGGGAUAACUACUGGAAACGGUAGCUAAUAACGCAUACCAUCGGAUGUGCCCAAAUGGGAUUAGCUAGUAGGUGGGGUAAAGGCUCACCUAGGCGACGAUCCCUAGCUGGUCUGAGAGGAUGACCAUCCACACUGGAACUGAGACCCGUUCCAGACUCCUAUGGGAGGCAGCAGUGGGGAAUAUUGCACAAGUGGCGCAAGCCUUAUGCAGCCAUGCCGCGUGUAUGAAGAAGGCCUGCGUGUUGUAAAGUACUUUCAGCGGGGAGGCGUUACCCGCAGAAGAAGCACCGGCUAACUCCGUGCCAGCAGCCGCGGUAAUUC